rnacentral:tRNA from 1 species
UAUCUUAGGUCUAAAGACAUCUUUAACUCCACAAAUUAACGUUUAACUUAAACUUCAAAGAU